UUGCCCCUCUAAUUGAGAAACAAGGGCAACCUUCCACGCAGCAACAGGGGCAACACUUCAUGGAGCAACAAGGGACUGGCUCCAGUGUACAAGAAAGUCCAGCUUCUACUACAUUGAUUGAUUCUCGAGGACCAAGUAGCAAUGUUGAUCAAAGCCUCAACGGCGCGCCCUCAUAGGAAAAUAAUUAAGAAAAUUUAU